rnacentral:rRNA from 1 species
GUACACUCCUGCGGGAGGCAGCAGUGGGGAAUAUUGGACAAUGGGCGCAAGCCUGAUCCAGCCAUGCCGCGUGAGUGAUGAAGGCCCUAGGGUUGUAAAGCUCUUUCACCGGUGAAGAUAAUGACGGUAACCGGAGAAGAAGCCCCGGCUAACUUCGUGCCAGCAGCCGCGGUAAUACGAAGGGGGCUAGCGUUGUUCGGAUUUACUGGGCGUAAAGCGCACGUAGGCGGACUAUUAAGUCAGGGGUGAAAUCCCGGGGCUCAACCCCGGAACUACCUUUGAUACUGGUAGUCUUGAGUUCGAGAGAGGUGAGUGGAAUUCCGAGUGUAGAGGUGAAAUUCGUAGAUAUUCGGAGGAACACCAGUGGCGAAGGCGGCUCACUGGCUCGAUACUGACGCUGAGGUGCGAAAGCGUGGGGAGCAAACAGGAUUAGAAACCCGGGUAGUCCCAUGAU